rnacentral:rRNA from 1 species
GUCUACAGCCAUGCAAAGCUGAACAAGCCCGAUCCCAUCUGAUCUCGGAAGCUAAGCAGGGUCGAGCCUGGUUAGUAUUUGGAUGGGAGACCGCCUAGGAAGAUCGGGUGCUGUAGGCG